UUCAAGUAAUCCAGGAUAGACU
rnacentral:miRNA from 1 species